rnacentral:rRNA from 1 species
CAGUAGGGAAUCUUUCCGCAAUGGGCGAAAGCCUGACGGAGCAACGCCGCGUGAGUGAUGAAGGUCUUCGGAUCGUAAUACUCUGUUAUUAGGGAACUACAAAUGUGUAAGUAACUAUGCACGUCUGACGUGUACCUAAUCAGAAAGCCACGGCUAACUACGUGCCAGCAGCCGCGGUAAUACGUAGGUGGCAAGCGUUAUCCGGAAUUAUUGGGCGUAAAGCGCGCGUAGGCGGUUUUUUAAGUCUCUAUGUGAAAGCCCACGGCUCAACCGUGGAGGGUCAUUGGAAACUGGAAAACUUGAGUGCAGAAGAGGAAAGUGGAAUUCCUAUGUGUAGCGGUGAAAUGCGCAGAGAUAUGGAGGAACACCAGUGGCGAAGGCGACUUUCUGGUCUGUAACUGACGCUGAUGUGCGAAAGCGUGGGGAUCAAACAGGAUUAGAUACCCUGGUAGUCCACGCCGUAAACGAUGAGUGCUAAGUGUUAGGGG